rnacentral:rRNA from 1 species
UACAGAGGGUGCAAGCGUUAAUCGGAUUUACUGGGCGUAAAGCGUGCGUAGGCGGUUCAUUAAGUCGGUUGUGAAAUCCCUGGGCUUAACCUGGGAACUGCAGUCGAUACUGGUGAACUAGAAUGCGGUAGAGGGUGGCGGAACUCCGGGUGUAGCGGUGAAAUGCGUAGAUAUCUGGAGGAACACCGGUGGCGAAGGCGGCAUCCUGGACCAACACUGACGCUGAGGAGCGAAAGCCAGGGGAGCAAACGGG